rnacentral:rRNA from 1 species
CCUGUUUAUCAAAAACAUGUCUAUUUGGAGAUAAAAAUAGUCUGGCCUGCCCACUGAUUAAUUGAUUUAAGGGCCGCAGUAUUAUGACUGUGCAAAGGUAGCAUAAUCAUUAGGUUUUUAAAUGGAAUCUUGUAUGAAUGGUCGGACAAAGGAGAAACUGUCUCAAGUUUAAUUUUGAAUUUUUACUUUUAAGUGAGAAGGCUUAGAUUUUUUAGAGGGACGAUAAGACCCUAUAAAGCUUUACAUACAAGUUAUAUUUAGCUGAAUUUAGGAUAUUAAAAGUUUUAUAUGGUUAUAUGUUUUGUUGGGGCAACAGAGGCAGAAUUAAUUAUAGCUGCUUAAAGGAGUGAAACAAAUAUAUGUGAAAGCUAAUUGAUCCUAAUUAUAGAUUAGAAGUUUAAGUUACUUUAGGGAUAACAGUAUAAUUCUUUUUGAGAGUUCAUAUCGAAAAAAGAGUUUAUAACCUCGAUGUUGAAUUAAAAUAUCUUUAUAAUGCAGCUGUUAUAUGAGA